rnacentral:rRNA from 1 species
CAGUCGCCACGGUAACACGUAGGUGGCAAGCGUUGUCCGGAAUUAUUGGGCGUAAAGGGCUCGCAGGCGGUUUCUUAAGUCUGAUGUGAAAGCCCCCGGCUCAACCGGGGAGGGUCAUUGGAAACUGGGAAACUUGAGUGCAGAAGAGGAGAGUGGAAUUCCACGUGUAGCGGUGAAAUGCGUAGAGAUGUGGAGGAACACCAGUGGCGAAGGCGACUCUCUGGUCUGUAACUGACGCUGAGGAGCGAAAGCGUGGGGAGCGAACAGGAUUAGAUACCCGAGUAGUCCCUGUCUCUUAUAC